rnacentral:rRNA from 1 species
AUUGAACGCUGGCGGCAGGCCUCACACAUGCAAGUCGAACGAGUGGCCGAAGGGUGAGUAAUAUAUGGGGAACAGCCCGAUGGAGGGGGAUAACGACUGGAAACGGUAGAUAAUACCGCAUACCAUCGGAUGCGACCAGAUGGGAUUAGCUGGUAGGUGGGGUAAAGGCUCACCUAGGCGACGAUCUCUAUCUGGUCUGAGAGUAUGACCAGCCACACUGCAACUUAGUAACGGCCCGGACUCCUACGGGCGGCAGUAUUGGGGAAUAUUGCACGAUUGGUGGAAGCCUGAUGCAGCGCUGCCGCGUGUUUGACGAGGGCCUGCGGGUUGUAAAGUACUUUCAGCGGGGCGGCGUUACCCGCAGAGGAAGCACCGGCUAACUCCGUGCCAGCAGCCGCGGUAAUAC